GCCGAAGUGGUGGAAUGGUAGACACGAAGGUCUCAAAAACCUUUGAUCGCAAGGUCGUGUGGGUUCAACUCCCACCUUCGGCA
rnacentral:tRNA from 2 species